rfam:Streptococcus macacae NCTC 11558 final_molecule, whole genome shotgun sequence.
UUAAGUGACGAUAGCCUAGGGGAUACACCUGUUUCCAUGCCGAACACAGCCGUUAAGCCCUAGCGCGCCUGAAGUAGUGGGAGGCUGCCUCCUGUGAGAUAGGGGCGUUGCUUAGC